UAGCGUUGACAAUGGAUACAUGCCUUUA
rnacentral:piRNA from 1 species